AGUGCAGGAGCUCUGCCCUCAGGACACUGGAACUUGCAUAUGCAGACACAUUUCUCAUCUGAACCGUUAUGUCAUGAGUGGUAGAGAUCAUCUCUGACAAGUUAUAGCCACUCUGUGCCUCAGCUUUCCCCCCUAUGUAUUGAGGAUAAUAAUACCCACCCCCAUUUCUGAAGAGGUUUGAAAGUUUUGUACAAAAAGCACCAGGUAAGUAUAAAUAAUUAUCAUCAUUGAUUUGGGUAAUUAGAGAGCUUAAGGGGCUCCCUUCUAACAUGACUGAUGGUUGCCUUGGGAGAAAAAUGAAGUCUUUGGGGAGGAUUCUGCCUUUUGUUACCUUUUCUGCCUUUAAUUACGCACUCAGCUGCUCCUUACUUUUCAUCUUCUGAUUAAGCUAGUGCUGAUCUGGAAAUCCUAACCAGAUUCUUAAGUGAAAUAAACCACUCACCUUUUUAUCUGACAGCAUUGGAACUCUUUCAUCGUAUAUGGAGGUACAUUAAUUCCCUAUUCUUAUUUUCCUUCCUUCCCCCCUGCCACCCAAAUGAAGAGGCUAAUGCUGUUUUACUCUUCCUGAAUGAUAGCAAAGGUGUGAUUCAUCUGCUCUAAUUUAGGCACCAUCUGCCCAAGUUCUGAGGCAGGUACCCUCAGUUCUCUUUAUUAUCAGUAGAGAGAAACAGGCAUCUCCAGAGAGCAAUUUAUCUUAUCCUGAGAUGGGAGUGUCUAAAAUAGGUCAGAAAAAUCACACUCUGGAGAUAUCUCUUGUAUUUCUGUGACUAUUAAGGGAACCUUAGGUGACUUGCUCAAACUUGGGCACAUAAGAUUUAGGCAUCCCACCCAGAAUAUCCACAAGAGCUGUUAAAAUGAUCGCAUGGUAGUUGAUCACCUCAGUAUAAUUCUCACUGCAGGCUGAUACAAUCUAAAUGGGACCAAUAGUACUCCCUGCAUCUCACAGCAGAGAUAGAGUCUGGCACAGACCGUCAUAGUUAGCAACUGUGAAUUUGAUGCCUGACAUUAAUCAGGAGAUAAUAGUUAGAUUGUAAGCUUCGAGAGCCAUCAGAUGAACUCGACCCAGUCAUCAUCAAUCAAACACUCCUUGCUUUUACAUCCCAUACACAGGGGCCUCCAUGAGUGAGGCAGCGAUGCUAAAAUGUGCUACUGAGCAUCUCUUUUCCUGCAACGACAAAAUUCCUUAUUUCUAAUAGUAGUAAAUCAGUUACUACUGAUUCUCAGACACCCUGCUUUUCCCACACUAAUCAUUAACCUUCCUGCAAGGUAGGAAGGUUCCCUAUUGAGGGGAAUCAAUCUUAGAUUUGGGGUUUCACUAAAUAAAAAAAAAAAAUUUAAAAAUAGCGGAUGUUGAGGGUAUCUCAUGAUUGCUCAAAAACAUGAUUAGAGGUACUUUUGACAAAGUGGUAAAUCUAUAAGAAGAUUUAUUUUAUCAUGUCACUCUAAAACACAAUACACAGAUAUCCCCAGUACGUGGAUAGUCAUCUCACUGUAACCAUCACUGAAACGCAAUUGUCUUGCAGGAGACUGCGGUACAUGUUUCACAGCAUACUGCAACAGCACAUAACUGUUUAGGACAAGAAUUAGCUAAACAUAUUGAGCUGCUGAUGCUCCUUCCCAAGAAACUUUGGUUUAUAUGUUAUUAGCGGAGAAGCCUCAAGUGAGAUGGUAAAUUAACAAGGAAACUGCCAACAAAUUAAAAAAAGAAGAAAGAAAAAAAAAAGCCAGAGCUUCUGUAUGAGAAAGCUUAUUGAUACCUCUGGGAAGCUGUCUGAAGCUUUCCUUCCCUUGAGCUUUCCUUUACUCAAAACCUGUUGCCAACCAAAUCACUUAAUAUUUUGAAUAUUAAAGUUGCUUCUUUUACAAUCUUAUUAAACUCCAACUCUUCAGACUUCAUAUGUUGAAGGUACUGAAGAUAAAUUAUAUACUACCCUGGAAAAGGACUAUAUUCUCAGAAGCACUCAUUUUUUUAACUUAUAAACCAGGUUUAAUUUAAUUCUGUGUGACACACCACUGCAUAGCACCCCCACAACAAACAAACAAUUGUCCUCUUUUGAACUCAUACCACUUUUUGCUCAUUAUUCCCUUAUUUCUUAAUUUCAGCCAACUCUCAAGUCUUAGCAUCUGUCCCUCACAACCUCAUCCACAAUUUCCCCUGCUUUUUAUCCCACACAAACAUCACAAUUCAAAAAUCCAAAAUGCAACUUUUUUUUCCUCUCAGAAAUGCCUUUCAAGAGGCCUUGCGCUUCUAAGUCACUUCAAUUCUUAAAAAUUUUACUUCAUAUCUUCUCCCUUUUGAAAAUAUACAUUCUCCAUUAGAUAUAAGAAAGGUGAAAUUUAAAAAAUUUGGAGUACUCACAAGAGCGGAAGAAAGCACAGCAACUAACGCUCCAACUGCUUAUUAACUGCUUAAGCUACAGCUGCCCACCUCUCUCAAAUUUAAAGGAUUAGCCUGAGAAGGUGUUUGGGAAAGGAGAGGAUUUCUUUUCUCUAGGAAAAGUGAAUAAGAAAUAUGUAGGCUUAAAGAAAGAAAGGUUUUUUAAGAAACUAUUAAUUCUCUGUACUAAAUGACAGAAACUGUUGAGCUCUUAUAUUGACAGCCUUGCUCUUUGUUUUAUAUAAUUUCUCAGACAACAACAUUUUGCAUUUUGUGGUAAUGUGCACAACAGGGACCCUGUACAGAAGCAUGCAGACUCAAACUCUUUAUAUCUUCACUGCAAAUAAGUAUUGAUUAUGGUUUUUAAGCCAGAAUUUUAUUCAAAAAGUCAUGAGCAUACAGGAAACUUGCACCCAAAUAACAGCACUAGGACUUCUUGUUUACAAGGAACAAAAUAUUUAAUAAACUUACAGUAGAAAAUAUAUCUGUAAAUAAAGUUCAGAAUUCACAAAUUUAAAUGGGCAUUAGUGUAUUGAUAUUUGGUAAGCAGUUGUACAUAUUUCACUUGCACAUCCUCAUCUUAAUUUACCGUGUUUAUUAGGUUUAGGUCUAGAGGCACAUCCUGUCUCAGAGUCAGCAAUAAUCUCCAAUUUACAUUUUAAAUCAGUAAAAUUGGACUAGAAAGAUGAUACCAAGGAAUAAAAUGACUUCUACAGACCUCUCAGGGCAAUAAUGGAACGGGGAAUAACACCAAAUUCUCCUCCUCUGGUCUAGUGUCCUUAUCACAAGCCCAACUUUCCUUUUAAUCAAAGUUGCUGGAAAACAGAGCAGCACUUUGAGCACACAGUCUACAAUCUGUGUGUCUCAUCUGAAUGCAAAAAUGCAGUCAGAUUUCAGGCUUUGUAUAGAUAUCAUAUCUGUCUACAGAGGACUGUGUGUUUGUUAUACACAAAUGAUAAUUGCGAUGACUGGGAAAAGCUGAUCUCUUACCUGAGUCUUAGGGGACAAAACUGAGCUGGGUGCAGAAGCACAAGGGCUACAGCCUGCAUCAAAGGUAUAAUCAUCCUGACUAGUGUAGUAAAAACUAUUCAGGUCACACCACAGAAGUACUCAAAAAUCAACACUGCCCUGAAUGUAAAAUGAGACUGAAACCAAUAGUUUGCCUGAACUUUGUUCACAAAUUCAAAUUGCCAACAGCAGCAAGGCCAGCUCUCACUGUUUUCUUUGGGACUGUUGUGAUAUUUGUUAUUCUUCUUAAAGUCCCAGCACCUGUGGUCAAGGGAUUAGGUGAUGAUCUCUGCUUUCUUCUAAAAUAAAAGUAACUUCCUCAAGUUUGAGAAAAUGCUUGUAAAUGUUGCCUGUGCAUGGCAGGCUACAGACUAGCUCUUCCUGUGGUACAGAUUAGCCAGAAACAAACCAGCUCUGAACCAGAAGCCACACAACCAGAGUGCUUCUUAGCCUGCAUUACUAACUCUUGCUGAAGUGUAAGAGCUCAUGCUGUCCAUUAUUAAGAUUUUUGGAGAGCAGUUUUCUUGUGUCCUGCUGGCCUAAAGCAUAGGCAGAGCAAAUUCAUGUCCACCUAUUAAGAAAAAAGACAGAUGAAGUGAAGAGAAAGGACCUCAAACCCAUGUUUUCUCCAAUAUUUACUCCAAUCUCAUGAUUUUCUUUCCAGGUGGGAUGCAUAUGAGAUGCAGGAUGUUUCUGUAGUCUAAGAGGUUGUGAAAACACACCUGAUACUGCAUAUGAGAGAGCUUUCCAGUGCUGUGCUUCCCAUAUCCUGCUCUACGAGUGUUGUGCAAAUAGUGUACAGGAUACAGUUCAAUUUUUGGUCUCACAAUUUCAAUCCAUUUACACCUUUAGUGGGACUUCAACACUGUCACUUUUCUAAACGUAAGUAAUUGAGGUGAAGUGGAAGAUGAAGAUAAGUGAUAAGGGACUAGGUUUUUUUCUUUUGUGAUUUUGGCUAUCAUUUGCUAGGCACUCCAAACACAUAAGAUACAUAAGCAAUAUAAAUUAAAGACAAGAAAAGAGGAAACAUCCUAAAAAUAUUCUUUGUGAGCAGUCACAUGUACAAACCCUGCUGUUAUUGUUAAUUUUGCAAGGACUGAUUAGGAAAAGAGAACCUUACAGAAAUCAAAGACUGCAGAUAACCAAUGGAAAGAAAACCAAGAAUGUCUUCAUAUAUUUUUGAUUUUGCGUGGUGUUUUCCUGGAAGGACUCAUCUGAAUCUGAAAAGUUUUGUUCAUUAUGCCUCUGGAGUGAUGAAGUGAGCAUUCCCCUGUUCAGUAUAUAUAAACAGGGUUUCCUCUUACCCAUGAAACCCUUUUUGUUUCUGUCGUAGUUUGAAUCUCUCUUUAAAGCAAACUGUUUAAAAUAUGAGUAAAAACAGAAGUUCAGGGGUCAAGUUAGUCAAGUUCUAAAUAGCAGUAUUUGUCUGGUCCUAGAAUCUGUGACUUUCUCUCACUCCUAUAAAAAAUGUGUCACCAGUGAGAUUGGUCUGGGUUUCCGUCUUUCUAAGCAAUUUAGAAUCAAUUCCUGUAUGAAUUGAUAACAUGUAUGUUAAACUUGAUCUGCUCUGCAAAACUUGCCUCAAAGUUAUUAAUGUUCAAGUGAUUAUUAUCAGAACAGUCCUAAUUCUUAAAGGUCAAAUUCAAAUUUUCCCAAAGUUUGGAAGAACCAGAUUAUUAUUAACACUAUCUUUAAAUUAAGUCCCAUUUCUAAUUUUCAUAUACAGCUUUAUCCUGGCAUAUAUGUAAAUCUAUCUUCCAAAUACUUUAUGGUUUUGAUAGCUAUUUAACCCAAACGAAAUAAACGAGGUGAUGUACAGAAUAGAUUUUUCACCUGCUGCGCUGAGGCCAGAUGUGAAUAUAACCCUCACUGGGAAAGUACAUUUCUAAUUUUGCUGAACCACAACACUAGAAAUUAAAUGAGAAUCCCCAUUCGGAGAGAGCAAGCUUCCUUUUAGGACAGAAAGGGAAGAUAUAUGAGGUUAGAAAAGUAUGUUUGGGUGUUGUCUGCCUUGGUUUUACCAUCUCUUUUAAUUUUUCUAAGGAAUAGCAAACUAUCUGCCUUGAAUUGUCAGCAAGUUAGGGUCACAAAUAUUACUGAAGUGUAAUAGCUCCCCCUGCCAGGUUUAGAUUACAAACUACAUUUCACACACAUGCGUGCACACAGAAACACACACACUCUCUCUCAAGAAAUAAACUAACACCUAUGUUAGCAUUUGCUGUCACUGCUUUACUAUUCAGUGAUUAUUACAGCAGAAGAAAAAAUACCUGCAGUUGUUACAUGAAGUGUAUUAAAGUAAUUUUAUAAAACUUACAAAGACCUAUAUGUUAAUAUUAAUUUUCCAUCAGUAUGGGCAGGAGAAAUGAGACAUUAUCCUGAGCAGAAAGGGAGAAAUAAACUAAGUACAAAAGCUUAAUUUUGCUUUAAUGGAAUGUUUACUUUUCAGUCUUCUAUCAAAUUAAUAUAUUUUUUCUCUUAAGCACUUAAUUUUAUGAAUGAUAAUUGUGGUCUCUAAAACUGUAGUCUGUUGGCAACCUAAGACCAAACUUCCUCUAUGUUCUGCUGUAUUUGGUCCAUUUUUAGCUUCAGUAAAGCUGAUGGCAGAAGUCCAGAGCUAACAGCCUUAGCCUGGAAAAACCUAUGCAUGUAACCGAUGCCGAGAAAUCCUACAGGACAAGUUGUGAAAGUCAAGCUAUAUGACUAAAACUGUAUCUGAAAGAGUAGAAUUCAAAUCUGUCUUGAAGUACCCAAUCUUAAAAAAAAUGCUCAACAACUCUAUGGACACGCAAAGGUGCACAGGAGUUAGAAACCUAUGAAGAACAAAUUUGUCUUUCCAAUAGCACUCAUUAAUGCGGUCUUAAAGGGAAUGAAUUACACUACACUGUUGCACUAAUUCAACACUUGUUUGCCGAGAAGUCUAUCAACUUUUAUUCCCUUUCACAGGAGCCUUGGAAGAAAGGUAAGUCUAAACAUACAUUUUAUAGGUAGUUAUAUUAAGAAAAGCUAUUAAUUUAAAAUUAUAGAGUAGUCUAAUCUGAUGUAUUUUGUGGUAUGUCUCUGAUACACAGUGGAACUCCAGCAGCAUAAUCUGAAACACACAAAAGUCAAUAUUUGGAGUAAGCUUUACAUGAGUUUACAUAGUUCUAAUCUCAAGGACCAUAGCCUAUAUAGGAUAGAGUGGUAUACAGUAAAUAAAACAUCAGACUGAAACUCAAGAACAUGGGAUUUGUUUCCAAUUCCAGAAUUUGUGUGCUGGAUUAUUUUGCAUCUCCGUAUUGGUUUCUUCUCCAACAAAAGAGAUCUAAUGUUAAUGACUAAACUGAAGCCUUGAAAACCUGUGUGUGAAAAUAUCUGAUAAUAAUAAUGCGUACUUAUUCAAGAAAGAUAAUAAACAACAUUAUUUUGCCAUACUCUGCUCCCCCAACCUCCCACCCCUGUGGUUCAUACAUGAAUUUAGACCCAGCAAAAUGUUUGAUAAUCUUGCAGUUAAUUUACAAUGAGUCAGUCAGGCAUCCUUCACCUUCAAUGCAAAUUACCAGUGUAUAUGAUGAAUGAGUUUUUUAUUGCUGACUGUUUAUACUAUAGCCAGUUCUAAGUAUUCAGGAACUAUAAAUUAGAUCCCAUGGAAAUCAUGGAGUUGUUCUGGGAAACAUGUUUAUAAUGUCAUAAAGAAACCCAGUUCUUCAGUUUUUGCCUUUUCAGCUCUUAAGUCACUUAUUUGGGAUACUUUUCACAAUCAUGACAGGAGAUAAGAUUUUCCAGUGAGUUUACCAAUUCAAAGUUAAAUUCAAAGUCAUAUUCUGGAAGGAGUUGGAUCCUGUGGUACGGAUGAAAGGGGAGGGUAUGCCAUGGCAGUUGUGCUAUUGGGUAUCUGUGGGAAUAGAAAAGGUGCUUGCCAAAAAUAAUACAUUCCUCCGGGAAAUUCCAGUUAUGAUUUUAAGAGGGAAGGCACUGGAAGAGCCAAGUAAAGCUGGUAGUGGAGUAUCUUUUAUUACCUCUGUAAGAUAUGUUACAAUGAUAAGUGUUUAUAUGAAACUAAAAGAUCACUUUGAUCUCACUGUGGUGAUGGAGGUGACAGUAGCCGUAAACAGUUGCAAAGAGUCUAUCUGUCAUAAUUUUAGAUGCUGAGCUUUAAGAAUACACAGAGUAGCUAAAAUUGAGAUGAAGAUAAAUGUGCUUUUUUCAUCACGGUUAUUCCAUUUCACUCUCAUUAGCACGGGAAUUCUCAGCCACAAACACCAGCAUAUUCAGAAAAAGUUAUUCAGCGGGCACAGGGUUUUCAAGGCUGUCCAUUACUAAGCAGGGAAGACAAGGCCAUAUUUUGAAUUUUUUGCCCAUUGUUUCACCAUUAUUGUUUUCACCACUUUUAAGGAGAAAAAUAUGGAACAAAUUAUUUUCAUUUAAUGUUUUGCUAUUAAACCACUAAGCAUUUCUUCUGAGGAUGUGAUCAACUCCAAGCUCAUACCUUAUGCUGCAGACAACUCCAAUAGUAUGACUAUGGAUCCCAGAAAAAGCUACAGUAAACUGAAGCUAAGGAAUUUUGGCAGCUUGAAGUCUUGUGUCCUUUAUAAGUGAAAUGUGUUUCUGAUGUCUCUUUCUAUGAAAGUCAAAGGCAAAGCUCCUGUUCAACACUGAUUUAUAAAUAGGGGUAUGUUUUGUCCAUUUGACCAGAAGUUUGAAAGUGAAUACUGACUCUGAGUACCACCAAAUAAAUAAAGGAGCCUGACUUCUAGGAAAUACUGGAAAUAAAAUUUGACAGCUAAAAUUCCAGCCUCCUUAGAUCAUUAGUCACUUUUGAACAUCUUACCUUUCCCUUCUAGCUGCUGGUUUAGGAAUCUGACUGGUAAGGGGGGAAACUCCAUAAAAAGCAAAUGGAAUUACCAAAUAAAGCAGGCGUCAGAGGAGAACCUUGUCUAUUAGGUGCUUUGUCUUUCAUAAUAGCAUUAGAAAGACAGAAAAUAAAACAAUAUGUGUUGAUUUUGAGAGAGGACAAGAAGCCAAGAAUAAAGCAAGCCACUUAAAUCUGGAUGAAAGGUAUAUGAAAUACAUAAUAAUUUGCAUUUUAUAAUAGUCUGCUUUCAUCAUGAAAAGACUUUAUGCGUCUUUUGUAUGAUUAAGGUUCAUAGGUCUUAAAAUAUAGAGAGGUGAAAUGGUCAACUGUUGAACAGGACGAAUAAGUACAGAGGCAGAAGAUAAAGUGCUGCUGUCCAUGUCUAGAAUAGGUUGUGGUACAGUUUCAUUUUAGUUUAUAUUCGUUACUAAGCACAGAAAAUAUUGUAAAUGGGUAAUUAGCAUGUCCAUUUGACAGCCUACAUGAUCCUCCAGUACAUCUGAGGAAAAAGAUCAAAGCAAAGAAUUCAGACUUGUGCAUGCAACUAUGAAGUUAUUCUAUGACGUUUUUCAGUUUAACUACAAAUUCUACUUGUAUGUAAAAAUGUCAUUUACAUUUUUGCAGAACUUCUUCUAAAUUAACUUUCAUUAUUUAUUAAUUUUAUCUGAUUAUGUCGUAUAAUUAGAACUGCUGAGAGAUUGACUACAGUAUGACACUUUCCUAUAAUUAGAACUGCAUUGUUCAUGAUUGUGGAAGUUUUUCCUGGUUGUUUGAGGAAGGAUGAAAAGGGCUAAAGACACUGAGAAUAUGAUCAUGUAUGAAUACACACAAGUGUAAAAUUUUUCUUCCUAAAAUCUGAAAGUAAUGGGAAGUUCCAUCUGAGGGAAAGAAGAUAGAAGAGAUAAGGGCAGAAGAAUAAAAGAAAAAGAUAAUUAUCUUCAAGUUGAGAAACAGGAUCUGAACUUAGGUAAAGUGUCCAGUUCUGUACAGCAAGCAUAUGGACAGAUACAUUUUCAUACACAAACAUUUGCAUUUGUGUUCUCUACCAUGUUACUGUUUGUUUUCUGGGUCCUGACCUGUCCCAGGCCCUUUUACACACUGAGUAUGAAAGUCCUUUUAACAUUGUACAUGGCCUUUGCAACAGAUGUGGAACCAGUCACACAACCUGUUGCCACUCCUCUGCUUACAAAUGAUAAACAAUAAGCAUGGCAGCCUAUUUACUUGCAAAUAUUAAUCUGUAUCUUCAAACAAUCUUCUUCUUUGGUUUUGAUAUCUCUUGGUCAUACCUCAUUUUAAAGGGGGAAUUAUACUGCAACUUUCCUCUUGACUUAUGAUUCAAAUGUAAAAUUUCAAAAGUUUCCAUUGGCAUAUUUUUGGCUGUCACAAUAGGCAUUAAAAAAUUGCUACUUUAAACUUUUCAUACAGAAAAUAAUGCAAUUAUGUUUGUUACUGGCUAUGAGUUUGCCCAUAGUUAGUUAUCACAAGUGGUAAAUCAUUAAUACAUGUUAAUUAUGUACAAGGGAGGUUAGACUGUAAACUUGGCAAAACAGGCUGUGCAUCAGAAUAUCGUUGUGUGGUUAUGAACACUGUGACUUUGUGCCCAUAAGAGGUAAUAAUGGUUAUAAAUAUAGGCCAAGAAUAGUUUAUUUUAAGUGAUUUAGAUGGCAAAAAGUUAUUCUGACAUACAAAGAAACAAUAGUAAAGUGAAUGGUAACCCAGACCUUGUUAAGUUAUACAUACAUGCUCCUUAGAGGUCUGGGUAUAUAGCUGUGCAUUUCAAUAUAGGAAUAAUGACAAAUAAGGGUUGUAUACUGUAAUACUAAUUGUGUUUUUUUUUUAAUUUAUUGUAGUAUAAAGUAUCUCCAUUUUAUACUGGAAUAACAAAGGCAUAGAACUAGUCACUGACUUUCUCCUACAGCAAUUUCAGCCAAAGAAUGGCAGAAGAGAAAUUACUCCACUCUCUUUUAAAAGGAAGAGAAAUCACACAGUAAAGAAAUCAUCAAGCUAUAUCUCUAACUUGAUUCCCUUUGUUACAUAUCUGACACAUUGCUUUGUGCGUCUGAGUUUUUAACGAGUCCAGCAAAGACAAAAGAAAGAUGUUCUGUUCUCACUGACCUCGCUGGCUAUGGCAAAUCCCUGAGGUGCGAGGCAGGGAGGCUGGUAGAGCAACCGAAGUUUUUCAAGAAAGCUAACACACUGGGAUGGCAAAGCAGCAAAGCCUUCCACUUUCCAGAUGGAGCGUUGUUAAUAUUCUGGAUUUGUGGUACUGCGCUAUUUUGAAACAAAUAAACUCAAGCAAUAAAAAACUAAUUCAUUUGC